rnacentral:rRNA from 1 species
AUUGAACGCUGGCGGCAUGCCUUACACAUGCAAGUCGAACGGUAACAGGUCUUCGGAUGCUGACGAGUGGCGAACGGGUGAGUAAUACAUCGGAACGUGCCCAGACGUGGGGGAUAACGAGGCGAAAGCUUUGCUAAUACCGCAUACGAUCUAAGGAUGAAAGCCGGGGACCGCAAGGCCUUGCGCGUUUGGAGCGGCCGAUGGCAGAUUAGGUAGUUGGUGGGAUAAAAGCUUACCAAGCCGACGAUCUGUAGCUGGUCUGAGAGGACGACCAGCCACACUGGGACUGGGACACGGCCCAGACUCCUACGGGAGGCAGCAGUGGGGAAUUUUGGACAAUGGGCGAAAGCCUGAUCCAGCAAUGCCGCGUGCAGGAUGAAGGCCUUCGGGUUGUAAACUGCUUUUGUACGGAACGAAAAGGCUCUGGCUAAUACCUGGGGCACAUGACGGUACCGUAAGAAUAAGCACCGGCUAACUACGUG